rfam:Otolemur garnettii contig137145, whole genome shotgun sequence.
GUGCCUGUGGCUCAAAGGAAUAGAGUGCUGGCCCCAUAUGCCAGAGGUGGCAGGUUCAAACCCAGCCCUGGCCA